GGCAAUUUACCAAUUCAUGGAAUUCAUUCAGUUGUUUCUGUCCUUUCCUUUUCAAGUAGCUGUGUCCCUAUCUGCCUCCUACAGGCAGUACCUGGACAGGUCAGCCUGUGUGUCUGCAGAACUCUCUACUGCUGGGGGACCCUGUCCAGGAUCACUGGAUUGAUGUCACUGGAAGUGAAGGAGAAUUAUCAGAGGAAGAGAGGGCGUGAUUGGCAGCUGGGAGGGAGCAGCCAUCAGAGCUAUGCCUCUCUCAUGGAGCACCUGGAGAAAAGAAGAUUCUAGCUUUUCCAGCCCAUGAACAAGGAAAAUGAAGGCUGCAGUUGAUUAUUCACAUUAGAAGGAGAAGUUCCUGUCCUGUCUCUCAUCAAGAAGAUGUCCCAAGUGGAAUGGUUUCUUGAUGAGGAAGCCUUCCCAAAAUUUCCUAUGUGGAAACCUUCCCAAUUUGCAGUUGUUGAGUGACAUCGACAUGAUUGUCAAUGAUGAUGAUGAUUACAAUGAUGGUGGGAAUAUAUACUAUGUGCCAGGCC
rnacentral:lncRNA from 10 species